rnacentral:rRNA from 1 species
CGGCGGACGGGUGAGUAACGCGUGGGUAACCGUGCCUCAUACAGGGGGAGUAACAGUUGGAAACGGCUGCUAAUACCGCAUAAGCGCACAGUACCGCAUGGUACGGUGUGAAAAACUACCGGUGGUAUGAGAUGGACCCGCGUCUGAUUAGGUAGUUGGUGGGGUAACGGCCUACCAAGCCGACGAUCAGUAGCCGACCUGAGAGGGUGACCGGCCACAUUGGGACUGAGACACGGCCCAAACUCCUACGGGAGGCAGCAUG